rnacentral:tRNA from 1 species
UGCAUCGGCCGGGAAUCGAACCCGGGCCGCCAGCGGGGCCAGCGAGCAUUCUACCACUGAACCACCGAUGG